UGGAAAAGCGCGCCGGUAACAAGCUCCCCCUCCAACUCCUCCACCUGCUCUCUCUCGUCGCCAUCUGCACCGCCUCCGCCCACCCCGCCUACGACGACGCCGGAGGCGCCGCCGCGUGCGGCGCCGACACCACCGUCCCCUUGCCGGUGAGGAGGGAGGAGUACGACGGCGGGAGAAUCCUCGACAUCACCCACUACUACCGCGAGGACAUGCCCGCCUUCG
rnacentral:misc_RNA from 1 species